CGCCGACUAGCUAGCCCCACCAAUAAAAACAACAACCCAAUAUUUAUACCCCUAAAAACACUUCCACCACAAAACAAACCAUUUUUCCCCCUUAGUAUGGGCGACAGAAAAG
rnacentral:rRNA from 1 species